AUACCUUUCUCGGCCUUUUGGCUAAGAUCAAGUGUAGUAUCUGUUCUUAUCAGUUUAAUAUCUGAUACGUGGGCCAUAGGCCCACAUGAUAUUAAAUUAAUUUUUUAUAGGGGAGGGUUCACCACGGUGGCUUGCUACUGGAGCCCUCAAGUGUCGCCCAGGCGUUGCACUAUUGCCAGGGCCUGGCACACCCUAC